UUGGUAGAAAGAUGGCGAGUGGCGGACUGGUGAGUAACACGUAAGGAUCUGCCCUUAGGAGGGGGAUAGCUUAUGGAAACAUAAGGUAAUACCCCGUAUGGCCGCGAGGUUAAAGUUUUCGAACGCCUAAGGAUGAACUUGCGUCCUAUCAGCUUGUUGGUGAGGUAAUAGCUCACCAAGGCAAUGACGGGUAGCCGACCUGAGAGGGUGAUCGGCCACAUUGGGACUGAGAUACGGCCCAGACUCCUACGGGAGGCAGCAGCUAAGAAUCUUCCGCAAUGGACGAAAGUCUGACGGAGCGACACUGCGUGCGGGAUGAAGGCCUUCGGGUUGUAAACCGCUUUUAUCAGGGAAGAAUAACCUUAUGGGAUGACGGUACCUGAUGAAUAAGUCCCGGCUAACUACGUGCCAGCAGCCGCGGUAAUACGUAGGGGGCAAACGUUACUCGGAAUCACUGGGCGUAAAGGGCCCGCAGGCGGCUUAUUAAGUCAAUUGUUAAAGACUGAUGCUUAACAUCAGGAGUGCGGUUGAUACUGGUAAGCUAGAGUACGGAAUGGGGUGGUGGAAUUCCCGGUGUAGGGGUGAAAUCUGUAGAUAUCGGGAAGAAUACCAAUGGCGAAGGCAACCACCUGGUCUAUUACUGACGCUGAGGGGCGAAAGCUAGGGGAGCGAACGGGAUUAGAUACCCCGGUAGUCCUAGCCGUAAACGAUGUAUGCUAGGUAUAGGGAAGCGAGUCUUUUUUGUACCGCAGUUAACGCGUUAAGCAUACCGCCUGGGGAGUAUGCCCGCAAGGGUGAAACUCAAAGGAAUUGACGGGGGCCGGCACAAGCGGUGGAGCAUGUGGUUUAAUUCGAUGAUACGCGAAGAACCUUACCAGGGCUUGACAUGUACCUUACAAUCUUGUGAAAGCGAGAUGGAUUCGUUCGUGGUACACAGGUGCUGCAUGGCUGUCGUCAGCUCGUGUCGUGAGAUGUUGGGUUAAGUCCCGCAACGAGCGCAACCCUUAUUGUUAGUUGCUACCAGUUCGGCUGGGCACUCUAGCGAGACUGCCGGUGACAAACCGGAGGAAGGUGGGGACGACGUCAAGUCAUCAUGGCCCUUAUGUCCUGGGCUACACACGUGCUACAAUGGGCGUUACAAAGGGUAGCGAAGCCGCGAAGUGGAGCGAAUCUCAAAAAGACGUUCUCAGUUCGGAUUGUAGUCUGCAACUCGACUACAUGAAGUUGGAAUCGCUAGUAAUCGCAGGUCAGCAAUACUGCGGUGAAUACGUUCCCCGGCCUUGUACACACCGCCCGUCACACCACCCGAAUUGGUCAUACCCGAAGCAGCUGAGCUAACCCAUCUAGGGAUGCAGGUUUCUAAGGAAUGGUCAGUGAGGGGGGUGAAGUCGUAACAAGGUA
rnacentral:rRNA from 1 species